GAGGUGGGGCGGGGAGGAGCAGAGGGAGAGGGAGAAGCAGACUCCCCACUGUGAGCAGAGAGCCUGAAAUGGGGCUCCACCCCAGGACCCUGACAUUAUUCAGCACUAAGUCUGGCACAUAGCAAGCUCUCUAUAAAUGUCUUACGUUGUUUUGAGAUGGCAUAGUUGAGUCAGCCUCCUCAGAUUUUAGAGGUGGAUGGGGGAAUAAUUACACCCUUAUGGAGUAAGCCCUCCAUUUUAGUGGGUUUCUCAUUCUUAAACUGGAGAGAAUAUUAAUGCAGAAGGGGAGCAGAUAUAUUUAUUCUUCAAGUCAUUCUUACCAUGUUUGAGUAAGAAUGAACCCAAGUUCUAAGGGUGCAGAGGAGCCUGAUCUAAAGCUAUAAAACUCUUAAAAUCCAGGUAAGUGUUUUGUUUUUAAAGAUUUUAUUUUUAAACAUCUCUAUACCCAACAUGGGACUCAAACUCAGAACCCCAAGAUGAAAAGUUGCUCGCUCCACCCUCCCAGCCAGCCACGUACCCUUUCAGAUCAAAGUUUUUAAAUUACAUUCCUCAGCAUAUAAACAAACAUCUCUAAUCUGGAAUAUAGCUAAUCUGGAAGAUAAAUGCAAUAGAUUGAAUGAAUGCAAUAGAUUAACUCUUGCAACAGGAGAUUGAAGGAGAGAAAGACACAGGGAGAGAGAGAAGAAGCAAACACAGGUCUUAUUGCGGCAACAGAAACCUGGAGAGGGGGUCCCCAGCUAAGGCUGGAGCCCUCGCCACACAGGCUGAGGGGUCCUUACAGGUUGGGGUUCAGGACGUGAGUGGCUAGAGUCCCUAAGGAAGAUCACCUCAUGGUUAGACUAUUUUUUUGUUAAACAGGAUGUUUGGUUUAGUGUUUUUUUGUUUUUUUUUUUCAGCAAUAGUCUGGGUGCCCAUCCUUAUCUGAGAAACCUGCACUCACGCUCUAUUGAGGAGCAUGUUCUCUAAAUAUGGGCAGUCACAUGGUGGUGUGUGCUCACCCCCCUGGAGGCAGGCAGGAAGGCUAGGGCUCCCACCAGCCCUCUGUUCACUCUGCAGUGAGAGUGCAGCCCUUUGUCUCAGCUCCCAUCGGGGCCCCUCCCAGCCAGGGUUAUAAAGCCAGAUACUCAGGGCCUGUGCACCUGUGGCUCUGUCCUGCCUUCUGCUCCCUGGUCGUGGGUGCAAGAGGAGUCUCAGCAUCCCAUCUCUACUGGUGGUGCUGGUGCUGUUGCCAGUGAUGCUGGUGCAGUUCCUCUGCAUCGGGCUGGGCAUCUGGCAAGAAAGCACUCCUGAAAAGCAAAAGAAGAAACCUUGGGGACCGGUUUCAGUACAUUUCCAGAAUCUAAGAGUCUACGUCUAUCAGAUUUUUAUGGCCAAUGGAGUUUGCCAGGCUGAGCCAAGUGCCACCCAGACUGCAGGGAGCCUGCAGAACUCUCUGACAGCCGCUGAAGAUAACAAGCUCCCGUAUGGAGACCGGGACACUGGGCGUCUCUCCCUGCCUUUCUGCAAACCAAGGGUGCAAAUUGGUUUGGAUACCACGGUGACACUAGAAACAACCGUAGAGAUUGGCCAUUCUUUGAACUGACACUCCUCCUGAAGGAAAUGAGAGAAGCCCCAGAAAUAACAGAGAUGGAUGUUUUUACCAUCCAGGAUUUCUUUAGAGACAUGCAGUCAACCUGAAAUUCUCCUCCCUAGUCCCUGGCUCUCUACGCCCAAGGAAAUACCUGUCUCUGUGACCACUGUCCUCCAGAAGGUGCUGUUGGGUGGAAGCCCGGUGUCCACGGAUUUCUGUCUCAGCACAUGGAGGCCCCUGGGAAACAUAGGUUCCUCCAAGCAACUCUGCCCCAGGCCUGCUCACCCCUAACCAGGAAAAUCCCCAGUUUAUUUGGAAAUUCUGCAUCCAUGCACAUGGGGUAUGGUGCCCUAGACUCUCUCUCAUGGUUACUGAGGAUUCCAAGUUCGACUCUCCCUGGACUCACGACCUCACCCCACUUCACCUUUAUGCCUUUCUUUGUGCCUAGGAUGACACCCGCCCCCCCCACGAGGAGUGUGACCCCUUUACCUUCAAAGUGAUAAAGGGUGUUUGUUCACAUGGGGAUUUCGAGAAGGUAGGGUUUCAGAGAAGGAUUUUUACCCAAGGGGCUGGACUGCCCUUCCCACUGCUCUCACAUUCCCUCCCCUUCUUUGCUCCUGAGCUCUAGGAGCCUCGGGCCUGGCCAGAACCUUCGUCAUGUCACUAGGAGGACAACUGUCUUCUCAUCCCCCAUCCCGGUGCUGGUCCUUCCUCCCAGAUUUACCCACUCAACCGUCUCUCUACAAAAACAAGGCUCUCAGCUUUUAGAAAUGGAAAUGAUUGAAGGUUCUUUGUCCUCCCUCAGCAGCAAGACGUCAAUCAGCCUCAAGACAAAGCCAGGUCACUUGGAAGUCACCGUUUUCAGUGCUUCCGUUUGUCUCUGUCACGGCAUCAUUUUCAUUGAAUGAAGCUAUAAUCCGUGUUCCUGCCAAAGUCUCCGAUUCCUCCAAAAGCUUUCUCUCCAGAAUUCAGAAGGGAGUCCUUGAACUCCUACCAUGGGGAAGGCUCUCUGCAAACCUGAGGUCCACCUGUAGGAGGCAGCACAGGGCAG